rnacentral:rRNA from 1 species
UACGUAGGGUGCAAGCGUUGUCCGGAUUUAUUGGGCGUAAAGAGCUCGUAGGCGGUCUGUCGCGUCGGAUGUGAAAACCUGUGGCUUAACCACGGGCCUGCAUUCGAUACGGGCAGACUAGAGUUCGGUAGGGGAGACUGGAAUUCCUGGUGUAGCGGUGAAAUGCGCAGAUAUCAGGAGGAACACCGGUGGCGAAGGCGGGUCUCUGGGCCGAUACUGACGCUGAGGAGCGAAAGCGUGGGGAGCAAACAGG